UACGGAGGAUGCAAGCGUUAUCCGGAAUGAUUGGGCGUAAAACGUCCGCAGGUGGCUGUGUAAGUCUGCUGUUAAAUAGUGAGGCUCAACCUCAUAAAGGCAGUGGAAACUACACGGCUAGAGUGCGUUCGGGGCAGAGGGAAUUCCUGGUGUAGCGGUGAAAUGCGUAGAUAUCAGGAAGAACACCGGUGGCGAAAGCGCUCUGCUAGGCCGCAACUGACACUGAGGGACGAAAGCUAGGGGAGCGAAUGGG
rnacentral:rRNA from 1 species